rnacentral:rRNA from 1 species
GUGCCUACGGGAGGCAGCAGUGGGGAAUAUUGGGCAAUGGGCGCAAGCCUGACCCAGCAACGCCGCGUGAAGGAAGAAGGCUUUCGGGUUGUAAACUUCUUUUGACAGGGAAGAGUAGAAGACGGUACCUGUCGAAUAAGCCACGGCUAACUACGUGCCAGCAGCCGCGGUAAUACGUAGGUGGCAAGCGUUAUCCGGAUUUACUGGGUGUAAAGGGAGCGUAGACGGCCAGACAAGUCAGAAGUGAAAGCCCAGGGCUCAACCCUGGGACUGCUUUUGAAACUGCCGAGCUGGAGUGCAGGAGG